rnacentral:rRNA from 1 species
UGCGUAGGCGGCGCCGUAAGUCUGGUGUGAAAUCCCGGAGCUCAACUCCGGAAUGGCACUGGAUACUGCGGUGCUCGAGGACUGGAGAGGAGACUGGAAUUCACGGUGUAGCAGUGAAAUGCGUAGAUAUCGUGAGGAAGACCAGUGGCGAAGGCGGGUCUCUGGACAGUUCCUGACGCUGAGGCACGAAGGCCAGGGGAGCAAACG